GCUGGGCACAGUGGCACAUGCCUGUAAUCCCAGCAGCUUGGGAGGCUGAGGCAGGAGGAUCGUGAGUUCAAAGCCAGCUUCAGCAAUGGCGAGGCGCUAAGCAACUCAUCAAGACCCUGCCUCUA
rnacentral:sRNA from 1 species